CCUACGGGAGGCAGCAGUAGGGAAUCUUCGACAAUGGACGAAAGUCUGAUGGAGCAACGCCGCGUGAGCGAUGAAGGCCUUCGGGUCGUAAAGCUCUGUUGUUAGGGAAGAACAAGUACCGGAGUAACUGCCGGUACCUUGACGGUACCUAACCAGAAAGCCACGGCUAACUACGUGCCAGCAGCCGCGGUAAUACGUAGGUGGCAAGCGUUGUCCGGAAUUAUUGGGCGUAAAGCGCGCGCAGGCGGUCCUUUAAGUCUGAUGUGAAAGCCCACGGCUCAACCGUGGAGGGUCAUUGGAAACUGGGGGACUUGAGUGCAGAAGAGGAAAGCGGAAUUCCACGUGUAGCGGUGAAAUGCGUAGAGAUGUGGAGGAACACCAGUGGCGAAGGCGGCUUUCUGGUCUGUAACUGACGCUGAGGCGCGAAAGCGUGGGGAGCAAACAGGAUUAGAUACCCUGGUAGUCCACGCCGUAAACGAUGAGUGCUAAGUGUUAGGGGGUUUCCGCCCCUUAGUGCUGCAGCUAACGCAUUAAGCACUCCGCCUGGGGAGUACGGCCGCAAGGCUGAAACUCAAAGGAAUUGACGG
rnacentral:rRNA from 1 species